AAGAAAUGAAUGAUUAAUUCGAAAAUAAUCCCACAGAUGUCGCCACCUUCAUUAACCUCAAAUGUGUCAAACGUCACAAUUUUUUGAUUUCCCAUUUGGUAUCAGAUAUAAAGUUAGAGAACGAUAAUUAAUUCGAAAAUAAUCCCACAGAUGUCGCCACCUUCAUUAACCUCAAAUAUGUCAAACGUCACAAUUUUUUGAUUUCCCAUUUGGUAUAAGAUAUGAAGUUAGAGAACGAUAAUUAAUUCGAAAAUAAUCCCACAGAUGUCGCCACCUUUAGUAACCUCAAAUGUGUCAAACGUCACAAUUUUUUGAUUUCCCAUUUGGUAUAAGAUAUGAAGUUAGAGAACGAUAAUUAAUUCGAAAAUAGUCCCACAGAUGUCGCCACCUUUAUUAACCUCAAAUGUGUCAAACGUCACAAUUUUUUGAUUUCGCAUUUGGUAUAAGAUAUGAAGUUAGAGAACGAUAAUUAAUUCGAAAAUAAUCCCACAGAUGUCGCCACCUUUAGUAACCUCAAAUGUGUCAAACGUCACAAUUUUUUGAUUUCCUAUUUGGUUUAAGAAAUGAAGUUAGUUAACGAUAGUUAAUUCGAAAAUAAUCCCACAGAUGUCGCCAUCUUUAUUAAACCCAAUACGUCAAACGUCACGAUUUUUUGACUUCCCAUUUGUUAGCGAAAAUAAAGUUAUUACGAGAUUGAAUUAACGGCGACAUGGUGAUUUACGUCAAAAGAUGGCGCUUCAAAAUGAUUAAUUUUUUUUAUUAAAUUAAUUUAAUUUCAAA
rnacentral:lncRNA from 1 species